rnacentral:rRNA from 1 species
CCUACGGGAGGCAGCAGUGGGGAAUCUUAGACAAUGGGCGAAAGCCUGAUCUAGCCAUGCCGCGUGAGUGAUGAAGGUCUUAGGAUCGUAAAGCUCUUUCGCUAGGGAUGAUAAUGACAGUACCUAGUAAAGAAGCCCCGGCUAACUCCGUGCCAGCAGCCGCGGUAAUACGGAGGGGGCUAGCGUUGUUCGGAAUUACUGGGCGUAAAGCGUACGUAGGCGGAUCAGAAAGUAUGGGGUGAAAUCCCAGGGCUUAACCCUGGAACUGCCUCAUAAACUCCUGGUCUUGAGUUCGAGAGAGGUGAGUGGAAUUCCAAGUGUAGAGGUGAAAUUCGUAGAUAUUUGGAGGAACACCAGUGGCGAAGGCGGCUCACUGGCUCGAUACUGACGCUGAGGUACGAAAGUGUGGGGAGCAAACAGGAUUAGAUACCCUGGUAGUCCACACCGUAAACGAUGAAUGCCAGUCGUCGGGCAGUAUACUGUUCGGUGACACACCUAACGGAUUAAGCAUUCCGCCUGGGGAGUACGGUCGCAAGAUUAAAACUCAAAGGAAUUGACGG